UGGCACCUAGUCUUCAUCCUAUUCCAAAGACAAAUGUUGCUAGUUCUAAAGAGCCUUUUUGAUCCCUGCAUCCUAAAUAACCUUGAGCAAUUGGUAGCCAAAGAAAGACACUAUAGUUCCAAAACCUUAUUUCAACAUAUACACUUGUGAGAAAUCGCUACAAACACAAUAGCAGAAGCUAGAAGCUUGUAGGAACAGUUGCUUUGAAUGGAGUGCAUUGCAAAGGGCUCUCAAAUACUAAAAAUAAAAACAAUCAAAAAAAAAUCAGGUCAUUCUUUUCUCUAUUUCUUGAAUAAUCACAGGUGUCCUGCACCAGAGUUAGAGCAGCACUGUGCUCUCAAGGAUCUCAGCACUGUUGGGUCACUGGCCAGGAAAUUCCAGUACUGAUCUUACUUCAGCAGGAACAACUGGAGGAACCCUGUGAAAUCUGGGAACUCUAAAGUAGGAAUGUAUACAAGACAAAGAAUGUGGUAGGGUUAUCUUGAACCACACCUGGAAAAACAUCACAUCCUGAAAGAAUCUUAGUCUGCAUCUGAAGUAAAUAAACCAUGUUAUCUUGAUUAGCAAAUAUGCAUGAAGACUAUUAACUACCUUGAUGGGUGGUCUACAAAUAAACAGGAUACAAGUUAAAGAGAAAAGCAGCCACUGUGAGAAAAUCAGCCUUUCUCAGAGCAGAGAUGGAAUCACUCCUAGACUGCCUCUAUGAAACUGCAAGAAACACCGCUUGGCUUCCUGUCUUCCUCAGAACUGAUCCCUCUGGUAUCCUGAUCGGUACAGCUAUGCAUAUCACCAGAGCUAAGAAUGUGCUUUCUAGAUUAAAAGUGUGUCCAGCUCAAGCUGAAGGAAGAGAAAGCAAAGGCUCUCAGGGAGCAAAACAAUGAAGAAUGUCAGGCCUCAAUUUAAGCAAAAGGAACGUUCUCAUGGGCACCUCAAUCGUGGCUGCCAAGGCAAGACUUUCAAAAUUCCUGUCACUGGUUCCAGAGCAAGAUUAUGAACAUGCUUAUCACGUGGAUUUUUUUCCCCCCUGGACAUGCUUGGCAAAGUGAUGCCAAUCUCUCAGAAUUUACUGGAGCAGAGGAUGGAUUAGUAGGUAGACUGGUUUAAACAUCUGGGACUAGGUUUUAUACAAGCAUUAGUUAAGUUUUACUAUUAUUAUUUUUUCCCCCAGGGAAAACAAUGUAUAUAUGAGAAACUGAACCCUGGAAAGAUUUUAAUCUCCUGUACGCAAGAAACGAUGAGAUCAGGGUUGUUACAAGAGCACAUGUUGGAUCUAUGUAUUCCAUUAAAAGGCUAGAUUUGAAUACCAUUCUUGGAAUCCUGUUUUAGGGCAGUAAAAGAAAUAAGUUCUGCCAAAUACGUGCUUGAGAGCUUUGUAGAAGACUAUUAAGGAGAGGGAUUUAAAAGRUGUUUUAUAGUGUCAAAGAUGUGGAGACCUAGGACAUCAGCUUACCUAGUCUAUAUUAAGCUAUUAAAAACAGAUCUGAUGGCAAGUACUACAAGACCAGCCCUCUUAUUUCCAACCUUGUCCACUUCACUGAAGUGACUGGGAAGCUAUCUUACAUCUGUGUAAAGCAGAAGGCUCGAAGAU
rnacentral:lncRNA from 1 species